CUUGAAUGAUUUGCCAGCGCUUUGAAGUAAAAGGAGGCAGCAUAAAUAAUUGAUUCCGCUGCACACCGGCUGACACCUCACGGCGGCCCCGAGCACAGCGAGGUGUCCCAACAACGUCUAAAGGCGCCCCCUAAAGGUUCCAAGUGGAAUCAAAUGAAGGCGCUGCAGUCAACACAAACAUCCAAAGAAGUGAAAGAAGCCAAACUGAUGAAGCAAGGAGUCAAUUUUGAUCCAUAAGGAGAUUAAGGGCCAUUGCAGGACACUGUAACACUGCAGCCUCCAGGGCAGAGUUCACACAGCUGGAUUAUAAACAUGCCCCAUCGACCAGUGAAAACCUUUGGUGCGUUUUUACAACGAAAGCAUCAGUCGAGGAAGGCUAACAAUGAAGGAGAACAAGGCUCUGAGGUCCACCGCAACAAAGUGGACACUGUCGUAUCCAGGUGAUCAACACGCUGAGUGGAACAGAUGGAGAUGUGGACACCCAUGGCACAACAUAUCACCCAAGGAGAAACACCAAGGAGACAGCGAGGGUUGGACUCAACGAGGCUCUGCUGCCCCCUGCGGGUGAGUCGGAGAGGCACCUCGGUGCGCAACUGCACUGCAUCAUAUUUGUUUCUCAUAUUUUAUCCCAAUUUCAUUCCUACCCUGGCCAAAUUUUCAUUUUAAGCGUUAAACGUUUUUGAAAAACAAAAAUUAAUAUCUCACAAUCUAAUCAACGGUACAUUAAUAGUGGAUAUGCAUUUAUUGAGACAAUUGUAUAAAUUCCACAUUUUAUUUUUUGUAUAAAAUUUUAAACUCAACAUGUAUUUUAGAAGAAUUUAUCGAUCUAGAGUUGUUUGCCACUACAGCUCUUGCGUAUAACUGAAUACGUCUAUAAUGUUGUGGCAUGACGGUUUAUAAGAAAAAUAAAUUAAAAAGGGGCUAUUUCUUGAAAAUGUAAAAAUCUUUUUAUUUUUAAAAUCCUGGAUUAAAAAAAAAAAUCUAUUUCCAGUCUCACAUUCCCCACGACAGAUAUAACUUAAUGUAAUGUACAGCAGCUAAUGUGGCAGGUGGGUGUACUCGUCCAUUUUCUGCACCGCUUGUCCUCCAUGUGAGUGUACGAGUAAAAAAAAUAACUGAAGUGGAUUUUUCUUAAAAUCUUUCAAUGCAACAUCAUAUAUUAAAAUAUGUAAAAUUCAUAAAAUGAAUAUGAAUAUUUGUAUCAUGAAUAUUUACAAAACUACAGCUUUGAAAUGAACAUCUCUUUCGGUCAUUUGCCACUACAGCUACACUAGCAAUAUACAGUAUAAUUAGAUUUCAUGUAUCCCUGAGCGCACGUAAAUAAUCACACCAAAUCAAUGAAAAGUUCCACCAUUCUAAAUGUAUUGAACAGUGUUACACAUGAUAGUUCUCUUCAGGUAGGAACUCUGAUGACAUCGUAUCAAAAACAACUGUAAAAAGUACAAAUAACAAAAGUGAAGACGUUGUAAACGACAUCCAUAACAAGAAAAACUUUCUCGUGGCAGUAUUCUCAAGAAUCUUUUUAAAAAUGAUUAUUUAGUCAUAAAAAUGUGAUUAUUCUCACCUUAAUUCAUAUUGUAGUUGUGUGUGCCUCAAACAGAGACAAUCGUUUGAAGCAUUCCCAUUUAUUGGGAUGAAUGUAGUGAUUUCAUCAUUUAGCUUUUUUAAAAAAGGUGAAUUUCAAGUAGAAAAAGGUGAAAUGUACAAGAUAAAAUGUAACAGUAGAAAAACAGGCCACGCAAUAAAGCCAGUUGAAAUAUUAUAUGUAAAACAAAACAAUGCAUGCUGCCUUAGGCUAGACUGUUCUACUGAAUAGAAGCGUCCUCAUUACAUGAGGUGGAUGUGAUUCCAGAGAAGACGGCGGCUGCUGUGUGAAGAUGUGGCGGAGGCGUUACAUGAGUCAAAUACUGCCCAUUGGGUCCGGUUCUGACCCAUCACGCUCGUUUGAGCUUGUCGAUGUGAAAGGUGAGCUUGAGGGCGGGGCCCAGCUUCAGGCCCAUGUACUUCAUCAUCACGUCACUGCGCAGCAACAGCAGUGCCUUGCCGUCGAUCUCCUGUCGCACAGGACGGUCGCGUUAUUGAAUGUUUGUGAAACCUAACCAUAGUGUGUGCAAUCAUCAUCAGGGGUGGAACAGUACGCCAUAAAAACAGUUCGGUAUGUACUAAAUGCAAAACAAAGACUGCAUGACUACUGUAUAUCGCGAGUAAAAAAAAAAAUGCAAUAAUGACAACACGGACCGUUACACCCCUCGUAAUGAUGAUUAUGAAAGUAUGCAUACAUGUUUCCUGAAUAGGUCGGCAUGCGGCGCCAGCACAGGGUCGAUGUCCCGAAUGUACUGCAUGACUUCCUCUACGCUCCAAAGGUUGGGGUCUUGACCACUGGGCCUGGGGCUCUCCCGAAAACUGCCCGAGCCUGAAGGAGCACUAAAAUCAUCCCUUUGCUCAUUUUUCAGCCAUAUGUUUGCAUGUUGACAUCCUCGGCGGGCCUCCAUCACUUCGUCAGCGGGACUCUAAAGCCUGUGACUCUCCGCGAAGGAUCCAAGGGUCGCGGGGAUAUGCUGGAGCCUAUCCCAUCUGGAAUGUGGGAGGAAACCCAGGAGAAAACCCACACACGCAUGGGGAGAACAUGCAAACUCCACACACAGAUGCCCAAGCAGAGAUUUGAAUCCAGGUCUUCCCACUGGCUCAAGUGCUCCGGUGUGUUCCGGUGCUAGUAGUGGAGCAGAACACGAGUUGAGUUUUAGCUUGCCGUGGGUUAUGGCCGCAACAGUAGCCCAUCUAUUCAUUUUCUAUGCCACUUAUCCUCACUAGGGCUGCGGGGGUAUGCUGGAGCCUAUCCCAGCUGACUUUGGGCGAGAGGAGGGGUACACCCUGCACUGGUCGCCAGCCAAUUGCAGGGCACAUAUAGACAAACAACCAUUCACACUCACCUAUGGGCAAUUUAGAGUCUCCUAUUAACCUAACAUGCAUAUUUUUGGAAUGUGGGACGAAACCGGAGUACCCGGAGAAACUCCAUCUUGUAUCAAAUUUCAUACAAAAUUAACAGGUUUCACGCUGACAUGAGCCUAUGAUUUCUGCAAAUUUGCAAAUUGGUUGACAACAUCCAGUCAACGUGUCAUUGAUACUAUUUUUUCUACAAAUUUAAGUAAGUCUCAAAAUUUUGUGCAUUGGCCAAAAUCUAGCCUUGAUGCUAGAAUUUACAGAGUUUGAAAGCGCUUUUAGUUAGUGCUGUCAAGAGAUUUAAAAAAUUGACAGAUUAAUUGAUUAAUAAUUAAUUUAAAAAGUGCCUUUCUAGUCAUUUAUUAUUGUAACAGACUUGAUUAACAGACUUGAACAGACGAAGUCCUGAACAUUUUAUUUUAAUCUCAGUCUACCCUUAUCAAUGGUGCUGUCACAACGUUUUUGAAGUGAUCAUUUCCCAUUCAUUGGACCAACAACUCUCACAUGCUCCUCCAUUGUCACAUCUCUUCUUCGCUCCUUACCUUGCCCUCACAUCUACAGUGGGAGGGCAGCUUAUGCUAAAUGAGCCCAGACACCAGGACAGCCAAUCAACAUCCACCACAGGUUGUGACAGACCAUUGUUUUCCACCCCCAACAACUCAAGCAAAAGAAGCCCAACGCAUAAAAACAGAUUUGAUAAAAAUGUAAAAAAAGGUAAAAAAAAAAAAAAGUAAGCCUACUGAGACCGAGUUGCAUGGUGUGUAGCUUUAAUUGUAAUGAGCUGUGUUUGUCGACAGAGUGUGUGUCUGUAGUUGACUGACAGUUGUCAGAGCUCCAUGCUUUUUUUUUUUAAAGAUGUGUAGCAAAGCCUGCUUCUUAAAAAAUUGGAAAACUUCACAACUCACCAUUUGAGUGCCUCUUCUCUCAAACAAGUGAGGGAGAUGAUAGAUUUUUCUCACGUGUGGUGUUCAUAAAAGGCUCUCGGGACACAUAGCACUGGUUCCAACAUCAUUAAAAAGUCACUUUUACACAGUGGGGGACCUUUUAAUUAAAAUCAGUGGAGUGGAGUUUGCCUUGACGCUGAGUAAUCCCUAAAAAAAAAAUCCCCAAAAUUUGAAAGAUUGGUUUCAGGCCGACAAGAAACCUUGACGAAAACGUCGAACAUCAGCAUAAGUGAUCAGUGAAAGUGAAAAAAUGAGGAAAUGGUGACCAAAUAUGGAAAGAAAACAGGAGUGGAUCAGUGUCUGCUGUCAGUAAUGCAGAGUUAAAGGAUGCACUCUUAUCUUUGUGGUUCAUCCAGGUCAUUCCGCCACGACCUCAGUCUACACGACAGGCUGACCAAGGCGCUGCACUUCAAACAAAGUCAUUUGGGCUUCCCACAUGGUUUCAUAUGAGUAAUUGCGAAGGCCUUUGCAAAUCAUCCCGCUAACAGCUUUCAUUUAUCCCGCCAAUCCCACUCAGGAAUCCAAAAGCAGACAUGCACACGCGUGUUACAGUAUGUGUGUCACAGCCCAAAUGUUAUUUCUGUGUUUAUUAUGUUUAUUUUUAGUCACUGCCUCUCUUUGAACAUUUAUGGAGCCUCCCGUCACUCCGAUGAUUCUAACAGACAGCCUCCUCCUUCAAAAGGAAAUCUGGUGCUUGGAUUCAUCAAGAGACUCUCAGUGCCAUUUGGCGUCCGCUCACGCUCUGGCUGAUGCAUUUUUUGGCGUGGGGGAGGGACCAUGGUGCUGUUAAAAAAAGGUGAAGUCAGCCUGUGGUGCCGGCAUGUGGUUUUUUUGGGGAGCGCACGCUCUGCUCCCCAUCCACCCUCCGCCCUCUUCUCAUCUGCGUUUCCUGUCACCCACCUCAAAGUGGGGCCAAGGAAACAGCCUUGGCAUUUUUGAGGGCAGAUGUGUGACAUCUUUUCCUUUUUGUUGAGGAAUCCACUAAAGCCGAGUGGGAGGGGAAGGGUUUGACUCAUGAGUGCUUCUAAAUUGACCAUUUCCACUUUCAGGGGUUUCUGUGUGAUGCUGUCUCACAGGAGAUGCGGUUUGUCUGUGUGCUCUACCAGAGGAAAAGGGAAAAAAAAUGAAAAAAGGCAGUGAUAAAUGUCAGGAAGAUUAUUUCAAUCUUGCAAAAGCUUAAUACGGGUAGGAAUAAACAUGAAAAGAUGGGCACCAAAACAACAAUUUUCUAUGC